GCGGCCCGAGCUUGUGCGCCAGCCGUCUUUCACACGUUGAGCCAAUACCAACGGGAUGGGAGUUCGACUCGGGGCUCCUCGUGGGGGGUCCCGGAGAACACCCACGCUUGCAGAUGCAGGCCCAACUCCCGGACGACAGCGGCAAGCUGGGGCCGCU
rnacentral:other from 1 species